rnacentral:tRNA from 1 species
GCCGGAGUGGCGGAAUGGCAGACGCGCUAGACUCAAAAUCUGGUACUCUCUGAGUGUAUGGGUUCAAGUCCCAUCUCCGGUA